AAGAUCAGAUGCGUCACUUCCUUUCUCUCCAGUAGUCAGGACAAUACAAGAGAAACUGUGGUGGAUGUCUCACCACCUCCUCCUCCUCUACAACUUGUGACCCAACCAAAAAAGAAAAGAUAUGGUAGAGUUCCUCAAGAAUAGGUUUUGAAGGACCAUACAAGUGACCUUUCCCUUUCUUCCAAACAGGAAACUACAAGUGUUCAUGCAAUGAACUAAAAUCUCCUACCUGGUGCUUUCUUGGAUGAUGACCGACACCUACUCAGUUACUUGGAUGCCAAGUUUUGAUUGAAUGAAGUUAAUACCUUAACGAAUCAUCAGCUGCACUGUCUCACCAGCCAGCGGAUGAGAGAAGCUACUAAGCAGGUUCUUCUUCCUGCAGAAACCAAGUGCUAAGUGUAGCUUCUUUUCAUAUUCGUUUGAGGGAUCCUCUUACAUUCGAUUCACGUAAUCUGCGUCAAGCAAACUUUUGCUUUGUCCUUCAAUGGUGCUCAGCGAACCCGAUGCUUUCUUUGUCAGAGUUUUACCAUGCCAGCCGAAGACGGAGCUUCACUGGAUUCCCUUCAUCUUCAACCUUCUCCUUUUCUUCCUCGGCAUAUGCUGCGUGUCUAACAGUUUAGCUAACUUGGUCUCGCCAACCUAAGUUGACCCUGAUCGACCGGAAUGGACCCUAAUACGGCGGAUUAAUUUGACCGGGGAGAUCCUGAUAUAGGAACAGCUGACGCCGACCGGGUCAAUUCGGAUCACAAUUACGAGCGUAUUCCGUCACCGUCGAAGCCCAACGUCUUUGCGUCUUUCUACAAGUUGGUCCGCGUCAUUCUGACGUGCUGCGAUCUGUCGAUUGUGUAGUCUCGUG
rnacentral:lncRNA from 1 species